UAUGCCCAUAUCAUGUUGAAACACCUGUUCUCAUAUGAUUACUAAAGUUAAGCAACAUCAAGCCUGGUCAGUAGGUAGAUGGGUGACCACUUGGAAAUACCAGGUGCUGUAAG